GUGACGUGGUAAGUAUCCGCAGGUAAGAUGAACUCUGUACGCCUGUUCCCUAACCUAAUGAAUCCCAAUUCAGCUUGAAUUAACAAAGCACUAUCAAUGACAUAACUCUCGACAAACAAUGAAUAAAAUAAUACAAGGGACAAGUGAGUUCUAACUCUAAUUCACUUUGUCACAAGAAUGUUUUCCUGAGAAGAAAUUCUAACCUUGAAUUGAGACCGUUGACAAGUGCUUGAUGAAACUGGUGUAAAAAGCUGACGGAAAGAUGGUUGGCAGACCUGAUGUAUACCUGACAUGAUAUAUAUCAGGCUGAUUAAAAGGAGCAAAGAAGUGAAGGGGAUGAGUUCAGUGCUCACGAGCAGGCGCUACAGAUGCAGAAUUUCAAGUACAUUUUGCUUAAUAGGGAAUUUUUAAAGGCUUUAUUGCAUCAUCUGAAUUGGACUUGAACACAAAAGUACACUCACCAGUGCGCACAGCAGGUCCACGGCCUCCAGUAUGAGUUCCUGGUGUCCAAUGCGAGACACUCCCAGGUCCUCCAGUUCAGCGUGGCUGAUCCUGAGCAGCCUCUCGCCACACACACCUCCGCGCUCAAACACGCACACAUACUGCUGCAGGCAGUCGUCCAGACCUGCAACAAACACACAGGGUUAAAUACGCGUGUUCGGGUAACAUCUAACAGACUUAUCACGCACUUGGGUUUGUGUUGUGUUGUGUAACCUGUUGUGAGUGCGUGUGUUUGUGCAGCUGUGCAGAGCCACUGUGCUGAGUCAAAGGAAAGCAGUCCAAACUGCUGUGUUGCACCGCGUCGGCUGCCAAAACAAUGAAUGUAUCCAGCCUACGACCUCCGAAUAAACACGCCUCGUGAAGGUAUAAUCCGUUUCAGUUUGGACAACUGUAGCAGUAGCAAUAAUAAGAAUGGAGCAUGAAGAGUAAUGGUGCCCAGUGGACACUUCAUUAGGUCUUCCACUUAAUGACAAGAUAGUUCUGCAAUCUUCACAGACCUCCAGGUGCACGCUGCCAAAUUAUGCAUGACUACCAUCUCUGAUCUGCUGUGGGAUUUUUGAGAAAACACGAUCACAACGCAUCUUUGUUCUCUGAGGAAAGUUAGUCAUCUGCUGUCAUGACAUCACCCUGUGAGUGAUUGACACCUCCCACGGCAAGCGGCAUCUCCGCAUCAUCAUUUCCUCACCCACCUUUCAUCCAGUCCACCACCUGGCUUGCGGUCCACUUGCUGACCGGCUCCAUCACCAGCGCCAUGGGGCAAACUUUCACCACCACCCCCUUUCACCUCCACCCUUCAAAAAAAAAAAAAAAAAAAAAUCUCCGUGGGUUGGCCCCAGAAGAACCCCCCCCACCAGCUCCACCACCUUCCUCCAGGGCCAGGUGACUGCUUUCCACACGCCUCCCCCCUCCACCUCUAACAGCCCGUUAUCCGGUACAUUCCUCAGCUCGCGUGCAUGCCGGAUGCCGGCUCUCCUCUUCUGUCCUUCCUCUCUGCUUCUGUACGCCGUCACGAGCGAGUGGCACCGGGCUGUGUCGAGACGUGUGUGUGUGUGUGUGUGUGUGUGAGGAUAGAUAAGUCACAGCAUCUCUCUCUCUCCCUCUCUGAUGAAGCUGUGCACGCUCCCCGUGGGUGGCUCCACGUACAUUAUGACUACGAGGCGAUGGUGCAGAUAUGAUGGAGGCAAUGUGUGUGACAGGGAAACACUCCUUUUUUCUGCUUCAGCUGGCUGUGUGGGAAAAAAUAACGAAUCCUCAGCUGACUUCCUCCUCCUUCCGCUUCAUCCCCUCCCUCCAUUCUUUCAAGAGGCUGCAGAGAAAAGGUGGCUGCUCCUUGUGGACUUCCGUCCCCAAAAGGCUUUAUUAAAGAGGACCCAUAAGUCCCACAAUAGCGUGGAAGUUCGACUGUUAAAAGUGCUUUUAGUAACGUCGCUUUAAUGCUAAUGAGCUGUUUGUCCACAAGUGUGCGUCUCCAAGAAGCGCUAUUGUACACUUCUGAUUAAUUUAAGAUGUGUAGCAAAUUGCUAUGCAUAUUUUUUUUAACAAAGCUCUUCUCCUGUAGGAACGCUCGAAAGUAAAAGACAUCGGAGCAGCUUUAUGCCCGAGGAAGCAAAAGUGGAAGUAAAAGGUAUUCCGUUCCAGACUCAUCCACGUGUGGCAAAAAAACGUGACUGAAACCGCUCAUAAAAAUGUCUAUUUUUGACACACGGUUCGACACCCCCCAUCGCCACACCCCCACUUGCAACACAGUCCAGAUUUCAUCCAGGAAUCCCCGUGUAUCGUGACAAAUUGGUUCCAGACAAAACCACGAUAAGUGAAUUUCUGCUAAGGAUGCAUUAUUUACAAAUCAAGUGUUUUCAUAAUUAGAGCAUAGUUCACCUGUUUAAAAACCUUCUGCAUAUACUUUUCAUUAUUAGAGCCCUCUAAACAUAAAAGGAUACCCUGACUGUGUGUAUUUCCUAAUUUAGGAGAUAUAAUCAGAGAAAAUAAGCCACUGACGAUAUAAAUGAGACUUGUGCUUGUGUGUUUGUCGCAUGUGGAACCGAUCAGGAAUUCAGAGUUAAGUGUUAGCCAGAUCAAAGCCACAAUGGUAUUAUGGUUAUGAUGAUGAUGACAUUGAUUGUUAUUAUUAUGAUGACUGUUAUUAUGCCUGUUGUAUCAUUCAAAUCUGCAAUAAA